AUCUAAAAUAUAAACUAAGAUAACGUGUGUCAGUGUAGGUAAUGAUGAAUGAAGAACAGAGAAUGAGAACAGUCUUUACACUGCUAAAAUAUA